rnacentral:lncRNA from 1 species
ACCAGGGUCAAGGCAAGCCUUAAGGCUCAAUGAGCACGUACAACAGUGCUUACAUAUCACUGACCAAAGAGUCCUCGCGCUGGCAGGGAUAUAGCUUUGAUACAGUGAUAUCACACUUAAAAUAUGAUGUAAAGGUUACUAAUUAAUUAGUUGUGAGGUGAAAACCUAAGCAGCUCAUAACACAGACAUAUAUAUUGUGUGUAUUACAAAAAUGUGAUACAACAUUUUUGAGGUUAUAGAACAAGUUUUGUAUUAUUAGUUCAAUCUUUAUGGUAAUUUGUUGGGCUAAAUUUUUUUUAUUACGAGAAACAGAUAAUAAAACAUCAAAUUAGCAAUUACUACAAGAAAAUAUAUCAAAUAAAUUUGUAAUACACACAUUUUGUAAUAUGAGAUAUUUCGGGAAAAUGUGAUACAACAUUUUUGAGGUUAUAGAACAAGUUUUGUAUUAUUAGUUCAAUCUUUAUGGUAAUUUGUUG